rnacentral:rRNA from 1 species
UACGUAGGGUGCGAGCGUUGUCCGGAAUUAUUGGGCGGAAAGAGCUCGUAGGCGGUUUGUCGCGUCGACUGUGAAAACCCGAGGCUUAACCUCGGGCCUGCAGUCGAUACGGGCAGACUAGAGUUCGGUAGGGGAGACUGGAAUUCCUGGUGUAGCGGUGAAAUGCGCAGAUAUCAGGAGGAACACCGGUGGCGAAGGCGGGUCUCUGGGCCGAUACUGACGCUGAGGAGCGAAAGCGUGGGGAGCGAACAGG